rnacentral:rRNA from 1 species
UGAAUACGAGACGCUAAGGCGUCGAAGUAGUGUAUGUCAUACUUCCAAGAAAAGCUUGCACUGUCAUAGAUAAAAAACGCCUGUACCAUAACCGACACAGGUGGGUAGGUAGAGUAUACUAAGGGGCGCGAGAUAACUCUCUCUAAGGAACUCGGCAAAAUAACUCCGUAACUUCGGGAGAAGGAGUGCCUUAUUCGUAAGGUUGCAAUAACAAGAUCCAAGCAACUGUUUAUCAAAAACACAGGUCUCCGCUAAGUCGUAAGACGAUGUAUGGGGGCUGACGCCUGCCCAGUGCCAGAAGGUUAAAGAAGUUGGUUAGCAAUUGCGAAGCUGAUAACUGAAGCCCUGGUGAACGGCGGCCGUAACCAUAACGGUCCUAAGGUAGCGAAAUUCCUUGUCGGGUAAGUUCCGACCCGCACGAAAGGCGUAAUGAUUUGGAUACUGUCUCGGAGAGGGGCUCGGUGAAAUAGACUUGUCUGUGAAGAUGCGGACUACCUGCACCAGGACAGAAAGACCCUAUGAAGCUUUACUGUAACUUGAAAUUGAAAUUGGACUUUAUUCGCGCAGUAUAGGUGGGAGGCGUUGAUUAUAAUCUUGUGGGAUUAUUGGAGCCAUCAGUGAGAUACCACUCUUGUAAUGUUAGAUUUCUAACUUUGAAUCAUUAUCUGGUCAAAGAACAGUUUCAGGCGGGCAGUUUGACUGGGGCGGUCGCCUCCUAAACGGUAACGGAGGCGUACAAAGGUUUCCUCUGAACGGUUAGAAAUCGUAUCUAGAGUGUAAAGGCAUAAGGAAGCUUGACUGUGAGACCUACAAGUCGAGCAGGGACGAAAGUCGGUCUUAGUGAUCUGACGGUACUGAGUGGAAAGGCCGUCACUCAACGGAUAAAAGUUACUCUAAGGAUAACAGGCUGAUCUCCCCCAAGAGUUCACAUCGACGGGGAGGUUUGGCACCUCGAUGUCGGCUCAUCGCAUCCUGGGGCGGUAGUACGUCCCAAGGGUUGGGCUGUUCGCCCAUGAAAGCGGUACGCGAGCUGGGUUCAGAACGUCGUGAGACAGUUCGGUCCAUAUCCGGUGUAGGCGUUAGAAUAUUGAGAGGAGCCUUCUUUAGUACGAGAGGACCGAGAAGGACAUACCUCUGGUGUACCAGUUAUCGUGCCAACGGUAAACGCUGGGUAGCUAUGUAUGGAGUGGAUAACCGCUGAAAGCAUCUAAGUGGGAAGCCCACCUCAAGAUAAG